rnacentral:sRNA from 1 species
GCCAGGCGCGGUGGCUCACACCUGUAAUCCCAACAUCUGGGAGGCUGAGGUGGGAGGAUCACUUGAGCCCAGGAGUUCGAGACCAGCCUGGGUAACAUAGUGAGACCUCAUCUCUA